rnacentral:misc_RNA from 1 species
GGGAGUGAGAAUUACAUUAAAAUAUAUCAACAGUUCCUCAUUUACUGUGGACAUUUUCAACAUGUAUCUCAUCAACAAUGCUAAAUCACAAGCAGAUGCCCAUUACCGUAACAAAAUACGUGGGCAAUUUGGCUAGCCAUAGAAAUUGUAUCCAAUAUACACCAUGUAAAAUGUGAUGUGAAUGAAAGGCAAAUGCAUAUUUAUUUCCAGGUAGAGUUGGCCAUUUUACAGAGUUCUGGUUGAUGAUGCAACUGAAGA